rnacentral:rRNA from 1 species
CCUACGGGUGGCAGCAGUCGAGAAUCAUUCACAAUGGGGGAAACCCUGAUGGUGCGACGCCGCGUGGGGGAAUGAAGGUCUUCGGAUUGUAAACCCCUGUCAUGUGGGAGCAAAUUAAAAAGAUAGUACCACAAGAGGAAGAGACGGCUAACUCGGUGCCAGCAGCCGCGGUAAUACAGAGGUAUCAAGCGUUGUUUGGAAUCACUGGGCGUAAAGCGUGCGGUGGCGGGUUCGUAAGUCGUGGGUGAAAGGCGCGGGCUCAACGCGCGGACGGCACAUGAUAAUGCGAGACUAGAGUGAUGGAGGGGUAGCCGGAAUUCGCGGUGUAGCAGUGAAAUGCGUAGAUAUCG